GACGGACAGACAGACUCAUAUACUGAAUGUUCUCUAUCAGACGCUUUGUCAUGAGCUGUAGGUUCUUACGGAGAGAAAACUGCUGCUGUCAGAGCCAAAGAAGUCAGCAAACAUUUUACUGUCUGGACAUAAAGAGAUAAUUCCACUUUUUAAGAGCAUGUUAAAAUCAUAAACAGUCAUUGAGAGGACUUGGCUGCCUGUUUACUUGUGUGCAGAAGUGCUUCUGUGGUGUUUAACAUGAACAUGAUGAAAUACAGCAUGGAGGUUGUUUCUGUCAGGCCUCAUGUUCUGGUUUCAGAUUUUGUGUGACCCUCAGGUGCUAACAGAGUUAAUCCAGUGAACAAGCUGCAGCCUUAAAUCCCUCAAACUCACGCGGUCUCGCUGUUUUUCGUUGUGAUGUUUUUUUUUCAUGUUUUAUGCUGCAGCAGAGUCCGGCCUUGAACAGAAGCUCUAAAUCUGACCCUGUAACUCAGACCCACUGAUAUAAAUCAGGACUCGUGCCUCUCUUGAGGGACGUUCACUGCUGACUUACAAGCUCUGAGGAGGGAGAGAGAGAGGAAUUAACACUGCCAUGACGACCAGUGUGUGUUAGAAAUAUCACAUCAAUGCCUGUCAAUACUUCACUUUUAAUAUAUGAUGUCAGACAUGAGUCUUUAUGACAGACAGUAGAUACCUGCUGAGAUUUUAAAGAUCAACACUAAACUUCACUUCACACUGCAGCAGGGAUCUGAGGGGAGUUUGUCUGUACUGAAGGAAAAUCUACAUUUCAAUUGGUCUGACUGCUAGUUUCAAGUUUAGAUGGAACUUUAGGAGGAAGGCAAGAAAGAAGUUGAAUGGUUGUUGAGCUGAUAUUUCUGUCACUUCUCAUUUAUACUCAUUAAGACUUCACCACAUCCUAUUUCCUACGCAGCCUGGUGGUGAGGACGGUUUGUUUGUUAUAUGCUACUGUUUCACCACAAUAACUACAUGUUGCUGCACGUCCAAAACCUACGACUGGGCUAAACUUUUGUUUUUAAACACAUUGCUUAUUUAUGAUCUUAAAUAUUUUGUUUGAUUUUGAGUUUAUAACCCCAAAUUUUCACCGCAUCUGGAGCAGCUCAGAUCUGGAACAGCCGUGAUUUUCACCGUCUGCCAAUUCCUACUGGAUCUGUUUGUGAGGCAAAUUUUGUGGCGGAUUACGGACAGCUGGAAUCGCGAGAGCUCACAAGAACCCGCAGAUUCACGUUCAGUCACACGAUAACGAGCUGUCUCUAGCCACAGAGGCUAACCAUAUAAGCAGUAGAUUGUGUUCUUCCAGAGGAGGAAAUCUACUUCUAGACUUCUAGAAUCAGCAUCUCCUCAUCCAUGGUGUCAUCGGGGUGAAAUGACGUCUAAAAACCUUUCACUUGUUCGUCUCCGCCCGUUUGCAUGGUGUGAAAUACGAUCCUCCUGAAACACGGAGUGUUUUAUUUUGAAAAGAAGCCAGAUGUUUUAUUUUGUGUCUGUUCCCGACUUCCUUUCCAGCACGGGUUAAUCUGUGCUGAAUUUAUCCGCCAUGCUCCGGCGUCCAGAAAAAAUAGAACUCUUGCGAUCAGCUGAGGAGUCCGGCGAUCCGCAGAGGAACGGAAAGAAGUCGGUGGAAAUUGACACGUUAACUUGAACGGCUACGAUCAGCUACGAUCGGAGGAUAUGACCUUUUCGAAGCCAUUCCGGAUGGGGUGGAAAUUGGGGGUAAGACAUGUUAGCAACAAAAAGAGCAUUGAGAUCAAAGUACUUGAAAUAGGAAUAAAUAGUGAUUUAUUUUCUUUAACAGCAGGGGGCGCUCUGAGCAGAGCCAUAUACAUGACAGCAGUUAAAGAUUUUGCUGUUUCAAAAAUAAUCUCUGUAUUUCCCACACAUCUAUAGACAAAGCCUCCUUUUAUUCAGCUGUUUAUCCCAUCUUCUUUGUCUUGUUUUCCACUUAAAUUGACUUAUGUUUCUUCUAUCAGGGAUAUAAAACUGUAAAGAUGAAAACAUAGAAAAUAUAAAAAUACAGUAUGUUUGUGUUUUACUGCUGUGUGAGCUACAAAGAGAGAGAGAGAGGGCGAGAGACCAAAAGACAACAGUGUGUCUGUCAUCGACUUAAGAUUUAAAGUCUGCAGAGGAAGAGCUCAUUAAUACUAAAGUACACAACGUGACUUCAUCCAACACACACACACACACACACACACACACACACACACACACACACACACACACACACACACACACACACACACACACACAGGGGAUGACCUCAUGCUGAGCGUCAGUUGGUUGAUGAGUCUCCCUGUCACUCACUGUGAGUGUUUUUACCAUCUCAACAUUAUUUAUGACUCCUGACGUUAUUUUCAGAUGCUUUUGUGUCAACACUGAAACACCAUCGUACUUUUUUCCUUUGGUACACAAUCCAUUUGUGAGUAAUUACUAAUAAAAUACUGUUGUAUUCUAGAUUUUAAAGUACAUAAUCAUGUGGGAGACUUUAUCAUCUUAUCUCUGACUAGAAAAUACAAUUGUCAGUGCAAAUCAAAUCACAAUGACUGAAAAUUCAAGUGUGCACCAAUUCACAGCGGUAAACAUGUGAUGGUCUGAAAGUUCAGUAAUAAAUAUAUUUGUGUCAUGAGUUUUUACAGCAGCAGGGAACUUCACAAACCCUCUGCGGUGUCAUGUCGCCCUCUAGCGGCUGAAUGAAGCACCAUCACAAGCAUCGGCAUUGAACUGUAUUGAUGGUUCUUUCAAGGUAUUCGGAAAUACCAGCUUCACAGGGAUGCAAAAUAUUCACAGAGAAGAAAGUAGAGUUUGACCCCACAUUAUAACCUGGUUAGGACAUACGUGUUACCAACAGGUCAAACCUUAAGUAUCAACAGUUCAAGCACUGUCCACUAGAACAUCUCCAAAGACUGAUGUCGAUCCAAUAAUGAUUUUGUCAUCAAGUAUGUCAGCUUCAAUAAUAAUAAUAAUAAUAAUCAUUAAAAAAUCUAAAUGUUUCUCUUUUAUUAUUUUAUACCAGCUAAAGAGUGGAGAAGACAGCGCAGGGCUUGACACUAACUUUUUUCCACAAGGAGCGCAUGUUCUCCUGAGCUGAAAAAGUAAGAACUUUAGGAGCACAAUGAGAGUUGUUUGAAUAAUGUUUGUCUUAUUGGUCGACAUAAGUACUAUCAUCUUAUAUCAAUUUGAAGUCUUUUGGUCACAUGACAUGGAAGCUAUUGAAAAAAUGUUCAAAAUUUGCCUUUAAGUUUAACAAAAUAAAAUUAAGAGGACAAAUUAGGGAAAUAAAGAAGUGUGUCUUAUGGUCCGACUUAAGUACUAUUACUUAAAAAUCAAUUUUAUGUCCGUUGGUCGCAUGAUAUGGAAGCUAUUGAAGGAAAACAGCCUUUUUAAUUUAUUGACGGUCCCUUUUUUAAGACCCGACGUUGACAGCGAGGAUGUCGAGUAGAUUUAACCGCGCUGCUGUUGUUAUUCCCGGUUAUGGAGAGUGAGAAGACACCGGUAGAUCCUCAGUGAAUGUCCGUCGAAUAUCCAACCUAAAACUAACUUCACCGCCGUAUUUACAUGAGAAAACACUGAAACGGGCACACUGUCGAUCCCUGCAGCGGCAAAACGUACUUCCUUUAGCCGGAUAGCGGUUAAAGCUCAACCGGAGAGACAUGAUAAACACCAGAGCCAAUGACACAUGACAAAAGUAUCGGACUUUAAGCCCAUUAAGGUAACUUACAGUUAAAUUGUCGUUUUCCAGAGGUCAUCCUGAUCUUUGUCCUGUUUUCCAUCACCAUCCUCCUUCAUUUUGGCCGUAAAGACGUCGUUACUUAGUUAGCCUUAGCUAGCAGUUAGCUUCUUCGAUAGUACUAGCAGUUUAAGACCACCGUUACAUUC